rnacentral:lncRNA from 1 species
CACACGGACCUGGUUGACGCAAUGCGGACAACCAAACACGUCCCAAAUUGCAGUGCCACACUCGCCCCAAAAUCCCUGUUGAUCUCACGCCACACCUCCGGAGAAUACAGGCAACGCAGAAAGUGGUGGUUGCGGCGUUCCUCUCGGAGUACGUAAAAGGAGAGGAGCAGCCAGGGUGGAGCGGAGGGACACGGGACACGGGAGUCUCACGAGCUAGCGACACUAACAAAACGCUGUAGUAUUUGUUACUCCGUGCAUGCAUAUUGCCGUUGCAGCCCACGCUCCAAUUUGUCGUCUCCAGUACAGUAACUCUCCACGUAUACUUUUUAUACUAGUUUUUACCCACUGAUGAUUUGUCCCUCACCUACUUCCUGACACAGGCAGCCCUGAACCCUAGAAAAUACUACUGCCACUUACUAAAUCCAAUUUCAGUAACUCAGAUGCUACCGAGUUCAACUGUAGUUCUAGCUAGCGGCACGUGAACAAACGAACGCGAGAAAACUAAUCAGAUUUUGUCCAGGGACUGUUUGUUCGAAUCUUAGCUUGGUCUCCAAACUUCAAUGCUGCAGUACCAAACUUUCAUAAUUCAACAGAUUUUUUUUUCUCUGGCGCUUUCUUUUUCGCACACUUCUCUCACACUACUCAAAGUGGUUCUCAUGAUGAUAUGACAAUUCUUUCGGCAAUCUCGUCAGCAAAAGAAGAAAGAUCAUUAGAUUAUUAUAAGAAUACCGGAAGUACCUAGACUUGUCACAUACUCCCUCGGUUUCUUUUUAGUCCGUAUGUAAGUUUUGUUUUAAGUCAAACAUAGUAGAAUUUUUUUUUGAACCCCAAACCGUAGAACAAUUGUUCUACGGUAUUUUAAUUAAUAUAAAUAAAAAUAGUACAAAAACCCGCAAAGGGUCAAAACUUGGCAGGUGACCAGCCAAUGCCUGUUCUAGGUAUAAAGGUCGUGUCUUUACAUGUUAUUGUGUAUUCACUGUGAAAAUCUUUGCUCAUACUUAUUCUUGAUCUUGUGUCAAAGAAGCUUUAAAUCUUGCUUGAGAUGGUAUCUCCAUGAUUGAAUUGAUUGUUGUUGUGCCUUGUAAACUUUGUCAUUUCUCUGAAUCCAUAUGUUCCAGCAUCCCAAGAUGAUAAUUUCUGUGGCAAAUUGUUUUGGUAAGUGACAGGGUAAGUGAUCCACCGCAAGAAUGGUGUCCUCAAACACAGAUGUUCCUCUUUGUCUAUUUGGAAUCAAGGAGUCUUGGGCAAAGUUGCAAUCCCAUAGCAAAUGCAUAGUAGUCUCCUCUGCCUUUUGAUGGCAGUUGGGGCAGUAGGGGUCAUCUAAAUGAAUGCUUUUUUCCUUGAGGAAAAAUGUAUCAACAUUCACAAUAAGAUUCAUAGAAGAAGAGCCAAGCGGCUGAUGAUGCAUCUCUACAUGGUGUAUCCUUGAAAAAGCAAUAAUAGAUUGAUAUCAUUAGAUGCAUCGUUGAAUUAACUUUCCUAUUGCAUAUCUUUUGCAUAUAUCAAUUUCAAGGUAUGAGAUUGCUAACCAGACCUGUCUCCAAUUUUGCUCCCGCUCCCGCUCCCUGACCUAGCCCUGUCGUCGGCCACUCCAGCCUCUGCCUAGCCUUCCCGUCGCUGGCCACUCCGGCCAUGACGGCCACCGCAUAGCCUCCCGUCGUUUGCCACUCGGGUUGCGACGGCCACCGUAGUUUCUGUCUAAAUCUUCUCCAGUCCAAUCAUGUCGCUGUCUGACCUUCACUUUGAUCGAGGGCAUGCCUUCUAAGACCGCAUCCGCUCCUCCAUGAAUCUGUCGAUCAACUUCACGGCGGAGCACGGUCAGCGGGAAUUCUUUCUGGUGGCGGAAUUUACUAGAUCGAAGAUUCGACUCACAGAGGAAUCGGUAGGUACCAUUCUUCUCUCCUGCUUUGGUGGUCGAGCUUCCCUUUUCAAGGUUCGCAAACUGCGUGAGCAUCUUUUCAAGUUCUCGGUUUCUUCGAUCAAUAUUGGUUUUGAGAUCUACAAUGGAGGGAAUGUUUCAUUGCCUGAAUUCAAUCUUGGAUUUCUCCUUUGGUUUUCUAAUGGUCCUAAGUUUCAUGCCCUUGCCGAUCCUGAACAAGAUAAUGGGUGGACCUUAGUCUCACGAUCAAGAAAUGUGAAUUCUUUUGCUGAUGCAGUUCGUGCACCAAGAUUCUUCAAUCAAGCUUCAUUUCCGCCUCAGAACCAUAGAUCUCGCCCCGCUCAAUCAAUGGUGGAAGUUACUACGGUUUUUGAUCGGCUUCAAUUUCUGGAAGCGGAUAAUAAUGAGGCGGCAAAUCAGCGAAUUCAAAAUGGCCCAGCAGUUGCCUCUGGUCCUUUGGCAGCCCAAUCUACUGGAGGCCCGGCCCAGCUCUUUCUGUGUCCAUUGUCUGCUGACGGGCCAUGAGAGAUCGAGCUGCACGAAUAAAAUUCGUUGCCAUAAUUGCAAAAGGUAGGGACAUGUUGCUAGUGACUGUCGCUCAGGCUUCCGCUCCCUUGCAUUAUCAAACCAAUUGACUGUCUCAAUGAUGACCCACAAGUAUAGGGGAUUUAUCGUAGUCCUUUCGAUAAGUAAGAGUGUCGAACCCAACGAGGAGCAGAAGGAAAUGAUAAGCGGUUUCCAGCAAGGUAUUCUCUGCAAGUACUGAAAUAAGUGGUAACAGAUAGCUUUGUGCAAUGUUGAGGAAAUCGUUAACUGGUAGCUGCUCGGUCGGCUGGUUAGUAGGGGAUUAAUAGGCUAAUCGGCAAGUUAAUCGGCCAUUUAAUCAAUUAAUCGGACGAUUUAUCGGGUAAUCGGCUACUCGGGGACCCUAUGAGUAGGGAUUAAUCGGCAAGUUAACUGGUUAAUCGGAUGAAUUCUUGAACAGGGGUUUUAUGAUAGGAUAAUUUGUAACGAGUAACAAGUAACAAAAGUAAAUAAAGUGCAGCAAGGUGGCCCAAUCCUUUUUGUAGCAAAGGACAAGCCUGGACAAACUCUUAUAUAGAGAAAAGCGCUCCCGAGGACACAUGGGAAUACCGUCAAGCUAGUUUUCAUCACGUUCAUAUGAUUCGCGUUCGGUACUUUGAUAAUUUGGUAUGUGGGUGGACCGGUGCUUGGAUACUAUCCUUACUUGGACAAGCAUCCCACUUAUGAUUAACUUCUAUUGCAAGCAUCCGCAACUACAACAAAAGUAUUAUGGUAAACCUAACCAUAGCAUGAAACAUUUGGAUCGAAAUCAACCCCUUACGAAGCAACGCAUAAACUAGGGUUUAAGCUUCUGUCACUCUAGCAACCCAUCAUCUACUUAUUACUUCUCAAUACCUUCCUCUAGGCCCAAAUAAUGGUGAAGUGUUAUGUAGUCGACGUUCACAUAACACCACUAGAGGAGAGACAACAUACAUCUCAUCAAAAUAUCGAACGAAUACCAAAUUCACAUGACUACUAAUAGCAAGACUUCUUCCAUGUCCUCAGGAACAAAAGUAACUACUCACAAAGCAUAAUCAUGUUCAUAAUCAGAGGGGUAUUAAUAUGCAUAUAAGAUCUGAACGUAUGAUCUUCCACCAAAUAAACCAACUAGCAUCAACUACAAGGAGUAAUUAACACUACUAGCAACCUACUAGUAUCAAUCCCGGACUUGGAGACAAGAAUUGGAUACAAGAGAUGAACUAGGGUUUUGAGAGGAGAUGGUGCUGGUGAAGAUGUUGAUGGAGAUUGCCUUCUCCCGAUGAGAGGAGCGUUGGUGACGACGAUAGCGAUGAUUUCCCCCUCCCGGAUGGAAGUUUCCCCGGCAGAACAGCUCUGCCGGAGCCCUAGAUUGGAUCCGCCAAGGUUCCGCCUCGUGGUGGCGGACUUUCAUCCGAGGAGAUGGCUUAUGAUUUUUUCCUCAUCGAAAGACUCCAUAUAGCAGAAGAUGGCCAUCUGAGGGCCACUAGGGGGCCCACGAGGUAGGGGGCGCGCCCAGGGGGGUAGGGCGCGCCUCCCACCCUCGUGGGCAGGGUGUGCCCCCCCUGGUGAACUUCUUGCGCUCAGUAUUUUUUAUAUAUUCUGAAAACGUCUUCCGUGAAGUUUCAGGACUUUUUGAGCUGUGCAGAAUAGGUCUCUAAUAUUUGCUCCUUUUCCAGCCAGAAUCCCAGCUGCCGGCAUUCUCCCUCUUUAUGUAAACCUUGUAAAAUAAGAGAGAAUAUGCAUAAGUAUUGUGACAUAAUGUGUAAUAACAACCCAUAAUGCAAUAAAUAUCAAUAUAAAAGCAUGAUGCGAAAUGGACGUAUCAACUCCCCUAAGCUUAGACCUUGCUUGUCCUCAAGCGAAAGCCGAAAUCGAAAAAUAUGUCCACAUGCUUAGAGAUAGAGGUGUCGGUAAAAGUAAAAUACGGACAUGAGGGCAUCAUGAUCAUUCUUAGAACAGCAACUUACAUAAUUCUUGUCAUAUGAUUUCUUAUGUUAGAGUAAUAAUUCAAUCACAAUUUCAAGUAUGAAUCACAAACUUCAUUGAAAACUAACAAACUAUAAUCUCAGUCAUUGGAGCAAUUGCAAUUUAUCAAAACAUAGGAAAGAGUCAAUAUAUAAGAGCUUUUCAGCAAGUCCACAUACUCAACUAUCAUAUAGUCUUUCACAAUUGCUGACACUCACACAAUACUUAUGGGUAUGGAGUUUUAAUCGGACACAGAGAAAGAUAGGGGCUUAUAGUUUUGCCUCCCAACAUUUUACCUCAAGGGUAAUGUCAACAAUAAUAGUUCAUGAAAACUCACAUCCAAUUAUCCAUAUAUACCAGGAUCUUUCCAACAUACUGUGCUUGCCAAAGGAUAAAAUGUAAAAAGGAAGGGUGAAGAUCACCAUGACUCUUAUGCAAGGUAGGAGAUAAAAGUAAAAGAUAGGCCCUUCGCAGAGGGAAGCAGAGGUUGUCAUGCGCUUUUAUGGUUGGAUGCACAAAAUCUUAAUGCGAAAGAACGUCACUUUAUAUUGCCACUUGUGAUAUGGACCUUUAUUAUGUAGUAUGUCGCUUCUAUUUCUUCCAUAUCACACGAUUGUAUAAAGCUUAUUUUCUCCCACACUAAUAAGUCAUACAUAUUUAGCGAGCAAUUUUUAUUGCUUGCACCGAUGACAACUUACUUGGAGGAUCUUACUCAAUCCAUAGUUAGGUAUGGUGGACUCUCAUGGCAAAACUGAUUUAAGGGUAUUUGGAAGCACAAGUAGUAUCUCUACUUGGUGCGAUGAAUUUGGCUAGCAUGAGGGGGAAAGGCAAGCUCAACCAUGUUGGAUGAUCCAUGACAAUAUAAUUUAUCUCAGAUGUAAGAAAACAUAACCCAUUACGUUGUCUUCCUUGUCCAACGUCAACUCUUUAGCAUGUCAUAUUUUAAUGAGUGCUCACAAUCAUAAAAGAUGUCCAAGAUAGUAUAUUUACAUGUGAAGACCUCUCUUUCUUUAUUACUUCCUAUUAAUUGCAACGAUGACCAAAACUAUGUUUGUCAACUCUCAACAACUUUUAUUCAUCAUACUUUUUCUAUGUGAGCUCAUUACUCUCCAUAAGAUCCAUAUGAUCUCUUUGUUUCCUUUUUUAUUUAUUUCUCUUUUCUUUUAUUCAUUAGGAUCAUGGCAAAAUAAUCAAACCCUUGACUCAACACUAAUCUUUAUUAUAUAUAGCUCACGGACUCGAUUACAUAGAGGGAUCAUAAAGCAAAACUCAAAACUUGAUCAUGCCAUAAACUUUAUUCUACUAGAUCAAGAUAUUACCAAAGGAUCGAACUAAGAAAAAUGGUAAAUAUAAAAGUGAUGGUGAUACGAUACCGGGGCACUCCCCCAAGCUUGGCAGUUGCCAAGGGGAGUGCCCAUACCCAUGUGAUUAUGUCUCUCUUUUUCGGGGAUGGUGAUGUGAUAUUCUUGGCAAUGAUGCCCCUCAGGAUACGAUUCUCCUCCUCGAGCUUAUUGACUUGCUGCUUGAGGUCCAUUAUUUCCUUUCGGAGUUGUCCUAUAACAACCAAAGCUCCCUGCACCCAAGGGUGAUGCAUAGCUGCGGGAGAACCAGUGACACUCUUUUUCAUAUUCUCAUAAGAAAGAAAUCUAACAUUGGAAGGGAUAACCGAGUUUGGAAUAGCCGAGCUCUGCAGUUCUCCCAUUGUGAAUCCAGCUCGGAAGCGGGAAGUGACUUCUUGAUCCUCUUCCAUGGCAUCUAUCCUCUUCAAAUCAGCCUCCAUAUCUUCCUCCGUUGCUGGCCCAAAGAGGUCAACAUUGUUGUUUGUCAUUGAUCUCGGUGCCGGAUGAGACACCCGGCUCUCCUGACUGACUCUUGCGAAGACAUCUUGCUCUAAUCUGCAGCGGCAACAGCUCGAAACACAAACAGAGGAUAAUUGCGUGAUACGGGAGUCAAAACCCCCGGGAGAUUAUAUAAUGAAUUUUUACCGACCAAAAUACGUGUCGUGUAAGAAAACAAAGUCCGGAGAGCGCACGAGGUGCCCAUGAGGUAGGGGGCGCGCCCAGUAGGGUAGGGCGCGCCCUCCACCCUCGUGGAGGCCUCAUGUCCUUCCCGGACUGCUUCUUAUUUUUCUAUUUUUCUAAAUAUUCCAAAAUGGAGAAAUAUUGCCUUAAAAACUGUUUUGGAGUCGGUUUACUUACCGUACCACAUACCUAUUCCUUUUCAGAGCCUAAAACGUUCCGAAAAGUGUCCCUUAUGUAUUUCUCUGGGGUUACGGUUUUAAUAACAUUGGUUUCAACAUUUAUGGGAUUACCUGAGAUAUGAUGUUUGAUUCUUUGACCGUUCACCACCUUCGGAUUUGUCCCUUCAAAGUUGUUGAUUUUUAUGGCACUGGAAUGAUAGACCUCCUCGAUAACGUAAGGACCUUCCCAUUUAGAGAGAAGUUUUCCUGCAAAAAAAUCUUAAAACGGGAGUUGUAUAGCAAUACAUAAUCACCUACAUUAAACUCACGCUUUUGUAUCCUUUUAUCAUGCCAUCUUUUAACUUUUUCUUUAAACAACUUGGCAUUUCCGUAGGCUUGGGUUCUCCAUUCAUCGAGUGAGCUAAUAUCAAAUAACCUCUUCUCACCGGCAAGUUUAAAAUCAUAAUUGAGCUCUUUAAUAGCCCAAUAUGCCUUGUGUUCUAGUUCGAGAGGUAAGUGACAUGCUUUUCCAUAAAUCAUUUUAUACGGAGACAUACCUGUCGGUGUCAAAACCGGCGGAUCUCGGGUAGGGGGUCCCGAACUGUGCUCUAAGGCGGAUGGUAACAGGAGGCAAGGGACACGAUGUUUUACCCAGGUUCGGGCCCUCUUGAUGGAGGUAAAACCCUACGUCCUGCUUGAUUUAUUCUUGAUGAUAUAGGUAUUACAAGAGUUGAUCUACCACGAGAUCGGAGAGGCUAAACCCUAGAAGCUAGCCUAUGGUAUGAUUGUAUGUUGUUCUACGGACUAAAACCCUCCGGUUUAUAUAGACACCGGAGGGGGCUAGGGUUACACAAGGUCGGUUACAAAGGAGGAGAUAUACAUAUCCUUAUUGCCUAGCUUGCCUUCCACGCCAAGUAGAGUCCCAUCCGGACACGAGAUGAAGUCUUCAAUCUUGUAUCUUCAUAGUCCAACAGUCCGGCCAAAGGAUAUAAUCCGGCUGUCCGGAUACCCCCUAAUCCAGGACUCCCUCAGUAGCCCCCGAACCAGGCUUCAAUGACGAUGAGUCCGGCGCACAGUUGUCUUCGGCAUUGCAAGACGGGUUCUUCUCCAUCUUCCGAACGUUUGUAAAGCAGUGUCUGGUCCCAUAAAUGUUUGGACCUCUUGGCUUCUGUGCCCAAUAAGGGCUAUUUCCCAUGCGUCGAAUGAAUACGAGGCGCCAGGGCAUUUUUACAUUCACCCCCCUAGCCAGAUAAAUAAAUUGUCUAUUAAAGGGAUGGGGAUCCUUAGAUCCAAUCCAUACCAUCCUCCCCAGCGAGAAUCCAUCAGAGAGCGUUUCGAAAAGAUCCAUUCCAGCAUGGCCGACCUCCGCAGCUCCUCCUCCCGCCCCCGUAGCCCUAAGCCCGGUGAUUGGAAGAGGUGUUCAGUCCCGCACAGUCGAUUAGUCGAACUGCAGACUAAGGGAUUUCUCCCUCCGGCGUAUAUGGUGCCCAUUCGAGCCGGGCUUGCCACCUACAAUGGCGGGGAGCAAGCGGAGAGCUUUCCCCGCCCCUCUAUGGGGGAACGGGUCUGCCUUGUUCCUUAUUUAUUAAGGGGACUCGGAUUUCCAAUUCAUCCGUUCCUCCACGGGCUCCUGGAGUUCUACGGCCUCCAAUUACACAAUUUCACCCCCGCCUCCAUCCUACAUAUCGCCAGCUAUGUUGCUCUCUGCGAGUUGUUCCUGGGCUGCGAGGCUCACUUCGAGCUGUGGAAAAGGCUAUUUUGCCUUGUCCCUCUCACAUAGAGGGGGUCACUUUAUCAAGUGGGCGGAGCCGAAAUAUGGCGCAUCGCCGAUACCGGAUACCUGUUCGGUACCCCGAAAAAGUCGUCCGAAGACUGGCCUUCAGAAUGGUUUUAUAUGGAGGACGUUCCCCUUCCGGACCCUGUUCGGCGGGGUCUUCCUGAGUUCAACAAUGCUCCUCUGAAGAAACGCAUAAGUUGGCACCCACGGAGCCCCCAGGUGGAAGACAAUGGAGAAGUCCUCUAUCUGAUGAACCAGAUUAGAGCACUGGCUCGAUCAGGAUUGACAGUAAUCGAAGUUAUGUCGAUUUGCAUAAUGCGGGGAGUGCAGCCACUUCAAUAUCGUGGGCACCCCUUGUGGUGUUUUGACGGGGCGGAUGAUGCCACCUGCUGCGGGCGUAAGGGUCCGGACAAUGCUGCCGCUUUAGCGAAAAUUCUGUCCGAAUUGUUCAAGGGUGAGGAAGAGGAGUUCACCCGCAUCAAGCCACGGGAUGGAUUCUCCAUGUACAAUCCUCCAAGCUGGGUAAGUUAUAUCUCCCUACUCCCAUUUCUCCCGCAUUCUUUGUCGUAAGUAUUCACCUUGCCACUUUGCGGCAGGAACUGCGAAAAGCCAUAAAGGAGGUCAGCAGCCCUUCUCCACAACCAGAGGACCCUGACCGGGCCCUCGACUCCGGACUUGAAGAAGAUCCGGUUAUAUUCGUGGAGCUGAUAGACCGGCAGUUCUAUCAGUUAAGCUGCGAUGAUGCCAUGGUGGCCAUUACGGCCGACUAUCCCGGACUGCUCCCUGCAUGGCACGUAAAAAAACAAAAAUACCAACUCCAAAAACUAGGAUCCCCUUUUAGACACUUCACCCACCAUAUACACAUGGUGUUUUUACAGGGAAGGCAUUCAGGACGCCCUGCCGAACCCGCAGCAACUCGCCAACAAGAGGCACCGAGCCCGGGUAGGCCAAAAAGGAAGGCGGUCCGAACGGAGACGCCGGCGCAAAGGUAUGACAAAAACCCCGCUCCAUGGUUGUCAUUUUUCUCGAAAUAUAAUGACGCCCGUGUUUCUUUAACAAAAAAACCGCUCACCGGAAUAUGUCCGGCGAUGUUACUAAUCACACUUCCACCAGUCGGGCGCCAGGACCGGACAUAGAGGCGGAAACCGAUAUGGGGCGGGCGCCGGAUAAUCCCCCUACAGAGGACGCGGAUAGAUUAUCCGCUACAAACUCAGAAGUGGAAAGUGCCAUGAAUCAUAGGCGCCACUGGGCCGUACUCCGUGACACUUGUUUCUCACCAGAGGCAUUUGAUGCCUUCAAUUCUGGAGAGGCGUACCUCCGAGCUGCUCAAGAUGGUCUAGCCAGAGCCACGGAUCAGUAUGUAAAGGAUGUAUGGGUAAGUAAAUCUGACGAUUUAUAUGUAUCAGUAGCCCCUGAGACUUGAAACAGUUAGCAGAACUGAUUUAAGGAUCAUCUUUAUUGUGCAGGUUCUUACAGAGAAGAAUACUAGGCUGUCAUAGGAGCUAGAGGAAUGCAAGACCCAACUGCGGGCCGCUGUUGCCGCAUUGCAGGAACCGAAAAAGUCACCCGCUGGUAACAUUUACUUUAAAGAAUGAUGGUUACCAUAUAGUGUGCAGCGUGGCUGCAAAUCUAACAAUAGAUGUUGCAGAUGAAUCCGGAGAAAAUCCAGAGGACCAACAUGUUAUGCGACAGCUAGAGGCUAGCAAACGCGUGCUGACUGAGGUUAGGCGGGAGAAAAACAAUCUCCAAGACGCCAAUAUCAAGCUGAGCGUGGAACUAAAAGAUGUUCGAGCCUAGCUUGCAGACUCCGAGAAGGAGAAUAAGCGGUUUCGGCGCGGCAUUUUCAGUAAGUGCUUGAACACAUCCUUUUAAAGGAGUUCGGCGAAGAAGCCGACUAACAAUGUUAUGUCUGUAGGUAUGCUGACGGGUCGUCCCGCGGAGGAAAUGCCCGGGUCUGCGGGUGAUCUUCUAUCCGAGCUCUCACAUCUGCAUGAACAAGUUCGGCAGGUGAUGCAAGGUGUUGCCCAGGCCUUGUGGCCAUCCGUCUCACUGCCAGAGGGCGUUACCGAGCUUACGAAGAAGCUCAAGGGAGCCCGGCGGCGCUUCCGAUUAUGGAAGAUAUCGUCCUGCCGACAGGGUGCCAGAGAAGCCCGGGCCAUGGUGAAGACGCGGUAUACCAAGGCAGACCCAAAUCACAUGGUCGAGGUCGGACCUGUGGGGCCUGAUGGAAAAGAGAUCCCCGUUAGCUUAGUUUAUGGGCAAGUAGAAUUAGCCGCAAAGUAUUCCCAAUAGGAUUGUAAGCUAGACCGCCUGUUGGAUGGUAUAGAAGAGGAAUUUAGUCAGUCUGCAUGACUAUGUAAUUAAAGUGACAUGUAUAAUGCCUUCUAGCCGGAUUGUAGAUCAUUUGUCUUGGCGGACCUUUUCGCUUGAACCUCGGGACUCGAUAGUCCGGAGUGUAUCCGAAUACCCGCUCAGUUAUAUAAGAACCGGGGUAUGCGUGGAGACCAGGCGUAGGGGUCAUUAGUGCUUGAACAGACAAGUGCCCAACUAGUUAUGUUAUAUUACAUGGGUAGUAAGAAACAUCUUCCAGGGAGAAUAGUUCCGUUAAGGGUUCCUUUCCCUGGGUAAGCAUGCCCUAAAGUGCAUGUCCAGACUGCGAUAGGAAACGCAGGAAAAACAUCUGGGGGCAGAUAUGGACAAUAAAUAAAAAUCAUCUUUUGUUCACCGGCCGAAUAUUCCCUUAAGAACGCUAGCUUUCGGCUUCACCCAGUCUGAGGUACACAUCCGGCUGACCCGGCAGUUACAAUCGCAGAGGUGCUCCCCUUAUGCCCUAGCCGAAUUAACGGGAAUGUAGGGCAUAAAUACAAGAGCCAGGCAACCCAGCUUGGCCAAAAUUUAAGUCAUAUCGAUGCAUAUAAUGGCGAAAAAAGGUACAUGCGGAAGCAUGACACAUGUGCGGGCCUGAGGCCCAGAUAAAUAAUUAAGCUUCUGUGAAAGAAGCCCCCAAGUAUGAUGAGCGUGGCUAGCGCAUCUAUAAUGUGCAAGCGAGGCACAAGUUGGCCCUUGAAGGCCUAGAGAAAGAAUAAAAGAAAGGAAGAAAGAAAAACAAGACAGAUAAUAUAUAUGCAAAAAAUGGACAAAGGGAGGGGACGAACAUAGACUCCGGUGCUUGCUUACAAGAGCUCGAGCUGCGGCGUGGUGACCGCCGAGUCCGGCAUGGACUUCUGCCAAAAGGUUCCGCCCUUCCUCUUCGGAGAUGCACCUUUGGAGGACUCUGGUAGUGCUUUUUUUAUACAAUUCUCCCUCGUGGACCCUGUAGGCCUUAGAUCACCGCACUAUGCAGCGUGCCUCAUUUUGCUCCUACGGAAGUCCCUGCCUAAUUAGGUAGGCCAGGAAUGGUUCUAUCCAUGGGGCUUUAAUGGCCAUUAUUACGUGGGCUGAAGGUGUUAGUUCGGUGGCGGAGCCUCCGAUUGUGUCAAAGUGUUCGGUAUCGGGCAUUUUGGCCGGGUUCGGACUAUUGUUACCGGUGUCCCCUUCCCAUACUACGGAUGGCUUGAACAGCCUUUCCAGAAAUAUGUUGGGGGGACCGCAUCGCGUUUUGCGCCGAUGCAUACGAGGAUAUCCGGUGCUUGAUUGUUUUCCCGAGCCACAUGGUGAAAUUCGAGCCCCUUGAACCGAGCUGACAUUUUUAGGACGACAUUUCGGUAGGCCGACAUUUUCGGAUCCUUGGCGUCAAAGUCUCCAUUUAUUUGGGAUAUUGCAAGGUUUGAAUCCCCACGCACCUCCAGGCAUUGAAUGCCCAUGGAGACUGCCAUCCGAAGACCAUGCAACAGAGCUUCGUAUUCGGAUGCGUUGUUGGAGUCCGUAUACAAUAUUUGCAGUACGUACUGAACGGUAUCUCCGGUUGGGGACGUCAGGACGACGCCAGCCCCUAGACCAGCCAGCAUUUUAGAACCGUCGAAGUGCAUGAUCCAAUUGGAGGAUGCGCCGUACUCUUUAGGGAGUCCAGCCUCCAUCCAUUCGGCGACAAAGUCGACCAAUACCUGCGACUUAAUGGCUCGUCAAGGUUUGUAUGUUAUGUCGAACGGGAGGAGCUCAAUGGCCCAUUUAGCAAUCCGGCCCGUAGCGUCGCGGUUGUUUAUAAUAUCAUUAAGUGGCACUUCCGAGGCUACUGUAAUCGAACACUCUUGAAAGUAGUCUCGCAGCUUCCGGGAUGCCAUGAAUACCGCAUAGGCUAUCUUUUGAUAAUGUGGGUACUGUGAUUUGCAUGGAGUGAGGACAGUGGAUACAUAGUAUACCGGCUUUUGAAGAGGGAAUUUAUGUCCGUCAGCUUCUCGUUCGACGACGAGCACUGCGCUUACAACUUGAUGAGUUGCCGCAAUGUACAAUAGCAUUGGUUCGCCGAUGUUUGGCGCGGCCAGGAUUGGGUUGGUUGCCAAAAUGGCCUUUAUUUCUUCCAAUCCGGCUGUGGCAGCGUCCGUCCACUCAAAGUGUUCGGUGCACCGAAGGAGGCGAUAAAGGGGUAAAGCCUUUUCUCCUAAGCGGGAGAUAAAGCGGCUUAGAGCCGCCACGCAUCCAGUUAACUUCUGGAUUUGUUUGAGGUCUGUUGGGGUAGCCAACUGUGACAAAGCUCGGAUUUUGGCCGGAUUAGCUUCAAUACCUCUACUGGAGACAAUGAAACCCAGGAGCUUUCCGGCUGGUACCCCGAAGACGCAUUUUUCCGGAUUGAGCUUGAUGUCGUAUGUUCGGAGGUUGUCGAAUGUGAGCCUCAAGUCGUCUAUCAAAGAGUCGAUGUGUUUGGUUUUGACGACCACAUGUCUACGUAUGCCUCUACUGUUUUGCUGAUUUGUUUCUCCAGACAUGUCUGAAUCAUGCGCUGAUAUGUUGCGCCGGCGUUUUUGAGCCCAAAAGGCAUUGUGUUGAAACAGAAGGGACCGUAUGGUGUGAUGAAUGCCAUUGCGGCUUGGUCGGACUCCGCCAUCUUGAUUUGGUGGUAACCGGAGUAUGCGUCGAGGAAACACAAUGACUCGUGUCCUGCGGUAGCAUCGAUAAUUUGAUCGAUGCGGGGGAGGGGGAAGGGAUCCUUUGGGCAAGCUUUAUUGAGGUCCUUGAAAUUGACACAAAGGCACCAGGAUUUAUCCUUCUUUGGUACCAUCACCAGGUUUGCUAGCCAGUCCGGGUGUUUUAUCUCUCUGAUGAAUCAUGCCUCCAAUAACUUGGCUAGUUCCUCUCCCAUGGCCUAUCUCUUAGGUUCGGAGAAACACCGAAGAGCUUGCUUGACCGGCUUGAAUCCCUUUAGGAUAUUGAGGCUAUGCUCGGCCAGCCUGCGUGGGAUUCCUGGCAUGUCUGAGGGGUGCCAGGUGAAUAUGUCCCAAUUCUCUCGCAGGAACUCUCGUAGUGCGGCGUCCACGACGGGGUUUAACUGUGCCCCGAUGGAGGCUGUAUUUGUAGGGUCCGUUGGGUGGACUUGGAAUUUGACUAUUUCAUCCACUAGUUUAAAAGAGGUGGACUUGGAUCUCUUAUCGAGUAUCACGUCGUCUCUAUCCACUUUGGAGCGUAGCGUGGUUAAUUCCUCGGCCGAGAGGGCUUCGGAUAAUGCCUCGAGGGCCAGUGCGGCUGUUUUGUUUUCGGCACGGAGUGCUGUGUCCGGAUCACUGGCGAGGGUGAUGAUUCCGUUGGGCCCGGGCAGUUUGAGCUUCAUGUACCCAUAAUGGGGUACGGCUUGGAAGAUCGUGAAUGCCUCACGUCCUAAAAGGGCGUGGUAUCCACUGCUGAAUGAGGCCACUUGAAAUGUAAUUUCUUCGGACCUAUAAUUCUCUAGCGUACCGAAUACCACAUCUAGUGUGAUUUUCCCAGCGCAUCGUGCCUCUCGACUGGGUAUGAUUCCCCUGGAGGUUGUGCUACUUUGCUCAAUGCGGUUCCAGUCUAUUUCCAUUUUUUGAAGAGUUUCCUCAUAGAUGAGGUUUAAUCCGCUGUCGCCGUCCAUGAGUACUUUGGUGAGUCGAAAGACGUCCACAAUUGGACUGAGGACCAGUGUGGCUGGUGCUCGGGCUGUUCGGAAUUUAGGUUCAUCACUGGCAUUGAAGGUAAUAGCCGUGUCACUCCAUGGAUUUAUUGCUGCUACGUGAUAGAUUUCGGCCAUGCUGCGGAGUGUUCGCUUGCACCUAUUAUUUGACGCAAAGGUCUCGAAGACUGUUAACACCGUAUUGUUAUCCACGGGAUGGUGCUCUGUGGCAUUUGGGAUAAGAAGAUCCUCACCACUUUUGGCCACCCGCCGGAGUAUCCAACAUGCUCUAAGGCUGUGCGUUGGUAUUGUAUCCACUGUACUAUGAAUUUUGCAGGGUCCGUUAAGCCAUCCCUCCAGUACGGUUCCAUGCCCUGUAGAGGAUUUUUGUUUCUUUGCAACUAGCUCGGGUGUCUUACGAUAGUGCACCCUUUUACUUCGGACUGGGUAUGUAUUCGGAGCCGGAUUAUCCCAAAAUUUUGUUUCGGUUUGCCAGGUGUUUUCCAUCGUACUGUACUUUCGUACUAUGGAUGCCAAGUCAGCGAAGCGUGAUAUGUCACGGUGACUUAAGGCGUUAAGGAUUCCCUUGUCCGUGCAAUUAUUGCAGAAAAGUGAGACUGCAUCUUCCUCACGACAGUCCUUAACCUUGUUCAUCACAAGGAGGAAUCUGACCCAAUAAUGAUGUACUGUUUCAUGGGGCUCUUGCCUGAUGUGGGAAAGAUCGUUUAUGUCUGGGUGGGUGAGUGGAUUUGAGUCCAAACCCCUACCCGAUCUGAGACCCAGGGGCUGAGGAGUUUCCAAUCUUGGAAGUUCGGGUUCCGGAGUGUUACCCGAUAAGUCUGGCCCGCUGCCUGAUUCUAGGUUAAGGGCUUGGGUGGUGUCCUCCCGUAAGUGGGUAUCCGGCUAGGAGAGCUUAGGAAUCCGGACAUAAUUAGUCCUCAAAAUAGAGGAAGAGUUGCCGCAUUGUUCCUCCACCACCGCAACGUGAUGGGUGACCGAUGGAGAGUUAAUCUCCCUUUGAUCGGGUUUAAGCCCAAUCUGAUUAUAGUCCGUAGCGACUCCCAAGGCGGCGAUGCGAUCCAAGAGUUCGUUUAGGGAAGAGAGCUCCAUUGGAUCCAUCUGCUCGGCGACUUCCGAGCUGACGUGGAGGCUAUUUUUGAUGACCCAAGAAGUCAUCGUCGGUGCAGCGGCCGAAUGGGCAGCCAUGACGAAACUGCCUAGCCGGAGAGUUUGGCCGACAGCCAGAGCUCCCCCGGUGGUAAUGUUGCUUUUAACAACGAGACGAGGCAUCCUUCCUUAUGGCGACGUCAUGGAGGAAAUCUCAAUGAAAGCACCAAUGUCGGUGUCAAAACCGGCGGAUCUCGGGUAGGGGGUCCCGAACUGUGCGUCUAAGGCGGAUGGUAACAGGAGGCAGGGGACACGAUGUUUUACCCAGGUUCGGGCCCUUUUGAUGGAGGUAAAACCCUACGUCCUGCUUGAUUUAUUCUUGAUGAUAUGAGUAUUACAAGAGUUGAUCUACCACGAGAUUGGAGAGGCUAAACCCUAGAAGCUAGCCUAUGGUAUGAUUGUAUGUUGUUUCACGGACUAAAAUCCUCUGGUUUAUAUAGACACCGGAGGGGGCUAGGGUUACACAAGGUCGGUUACAAAGGAGGAGAUAUACAUAUCCGUAUUGCCUAGCUUGCCUUCCACGCCAAGUAGAGUCCCAUCCGGACACGAGACGAAGUCUUCAAUCUUGUAUCUUCAUAGUCCAACAAUCCGGCCAAAGGAUAUAAUCCAGCUAUCCGGAUACCCCCUAAUCCAGGACUCCCUCAAUACCCAUAGGAUUUUUAUAUGCAGUUCUAUAGGCCCACAAUGCAUCAUCAAGUUUCUUGGACCAAUUCUUUCUAGACCUAUUGACAGUCUUUUGCAAAAUUAAUUUGAGCUCUCUAUUACUCAAUUCUACUUGACCACUAGACUAAGGGUGAUAAGGGGAUGCAAUUCUAUGAUUAACAUCAUACUUAGCAAGCAUUUUAUGGAAAGCACCAUGAAUAAAAUAUGAACCACCAUCAGUCAUUAAAUAUCUAGGGAUUCCAAAUCUUGGAAAAAUAACUUCUUUAAGCAUUUUAAUAGAAGUGUUAUGAUCAGCACUACUAGUUGGAAUAGCUUCUACCCACUUAGUAACGUAAUCAACAUCAACUAAAAUAUGUGUAUAUCCAUUAGAGGCAGGAAAAGGUCCCAUAUAGUCAAAGCCCCAAACAUCAAAUGGUUCAAUAAUGAGUGAAUAGUUCAUAGGCAUUUCUUGACGUCUACUAAUAUUACCAAUUCUUUGACAUUCAUCACAAGAUAAGACAAACUUAUGGGCAUCCUUGAAGAGAGUAGGCCAAUAAAAGCAGAUUGCAAUACCUUAUGUGCAGUUCUAUCUCCAGCAUGGUGUCCUCCAUAAGCUUCGGAGUGACACUUGUGUAGGAUCUGUUCCUGUUCAUGCUCAGGUACACAACGUCUAAUAACACCAUCUACUCCUUCUUUAUAAAGAUGUGGGUCAUCCCAAAAGUAAUGCCUCAAAUCAUAGAAGAACUUUUUCUUUUGCUGGUAUGUGAAACUAGGUGGUAUGAAUUUGGCAACAACGUAAUUAGCAUAAUCAACAUACCAUGGAGCAGUAUGAGAAGCAUUUAUGACAUUUAAUUUCUCAUCAGGAAAGCUAUCAUCAAUAGGUAGUGGGUCAUCGAGCACAUUUUCUAACCUAGACAAGUUGUCUGCAACGGGGUUCUCAGCUCCCUUUCUAUCAACAAUAUGUAAGCUAAAUUCUUGUAGCAAGAGAACCCAUCUAAUAAGUCUAGGUUUAGCAUCUUUCUUUUCCAUAAGAUAUUUAAUAGCAGCAUGAUCAGUGUGAAUAGUUACUUUAGAAUCAACAAUAUAAGGUCUGAACUUAUCACAAGCAAAUACAACUGCUAAGAAUUCUUUUUCAGUAGUAGCAUAAUUUCUUUGAGCAUUAUCUAGGGUUUUACUAGCAUAUUGAAUAACGUUUAAUUUCUUAUCAACUCUUUGCCCUAGAACAACACCUACAGCAUAAUCACUAGCAUCACACAUAAUUUCAAAGGGUAAAUUCCAAUCAGGUGGCUGAACAAUAGGUGCAGAGAUCAAUGCUUUCUUAAGUAUUUCAAAUACUUCUACACAAUCAUCAUCAAAGACAAAUGGUAUAUCUUUUUGUAAUAAAUUAGUCAGAGGCCGAGAAAUUUUUGAGAAGUCCUUAAUGAACCUCCUAUAAAUUUCGGCGUGACCAAGGAAACUUCUUAUACCUUUGAUGUCCUUGGGGCAUGGCAUCUUUUCAAUAGCAUCAACCUUGGCUUUAUCAACUUCAAUACCUCUUUCAGAAACUUUAUGCCCCAAGACAAUACCUUCAUUAACCAUAAAGUGACACUUUUCCCAAUUCAAGACAAGAUUAGUUUCUUCACAUCUCUACAAAACUCGAUCAAGGUUGCUCAAGCAAUCAUCAAAAGAGGAUCCAUAGACGGAGAAAUCGUCCAUGAAAACCUCACAAAUCUUUUCACAAAAGUCAGAGAAUAUAGCCAUCAUGCAUCUUUGAAAGGUAGCAGGUGCAUUACAUAAACCAAAAGGCAUACGUCUAUAAGCAAAAGUACCAAAAGGGCAAGUAAAAGUAGUCUUUGAUUGAUCCUUGGCUGACACAGGUAUUUGAGAGAAAUCAGAAUAACCAUCUAGAAAGCAAAAAUGUGUAUGUUUGGAUAAUAUUUCUAGCAUUUGAUCGAUAAAAGGUAAGGGGUAAUGAUCCUUUUUAGUGGCCUUAUUUAAUUUGCGGAAAUCGAUUACCAUCCUAUAACCUGUAAUAAUUCUUUGAGGAAUCAAUUCAUCGACAGUAAUACCUCCCUUCUUAGGGACACAAUGGACAGGACUUACCCACUGACUAUCAGCAACGGGAUAGAUUAUACCUACCUCAAGGAGCUUUAGUAUUUCCUUUCUCACCACUUCUUUCAUUUUAGGAUUCAGCCGUCGUUGAUGAUCACGAACUGGUUUAGCAUCUUCUUCCAAAUUUAUUUUAUGUUGACAUAGAGUGGGACUAAUGCCCUUAAGAUCAUCAUGAGUAUACCCAAUAGCAGCACGGUGCUUCUUCAGAGUUUUCAAUAAUCUCUCUUCCUCAUGCUCUGAAAGGUUAGCACUAAUAAUAACAGGAUAUAUCUUUUUCUCAUCAAGGUAAGCAUAUUUAAGAGUAUCAGGCAACGGUUUAAGCUCAAACACGAGAUCACCCUUGGGUGGAGGAGGAUCCCCUAGGAUUUCAACAGGCAAAUUGUGUUUCAGAAUAGGUUCCUGUUUAAAGAAUACUUCAUCUAUUUCCCUUCUUUCAUUCAUAAACAUAUCAUUUUCAUGGUCUAGCAAAUAUUGUUCCAAAGGAUCACUAGGAGGUACGGCAAUAGAAGCAAGACCAAUAAUUUCAUCCUUACUAGGUAAUUCUUCUUCACGGUGUUGUCUAGUAAAUUUAGAGAAAUUAAAUUCAUGAGACAUAUCAUCUAAACCGAUAGUAACAACAUCUAUCUUAGCAUUAACAGUGUUUAAGAAGGGUCUACCAAAUAUAAUGGGACAAAAGCUAUCUUGUGGGAACCAAGAACAAGAAAAUUAGCAGGAUAUUUAGUUUUCCCACACAAGACUUCAACAUCUCUAACAAUUCCCAUUGGUGAAAUAGUAUCUCCAUUGGCAAGUUUAAUCGUGACAUCAAUAUCUUCUAACUCAACCGGUGCAAUAUCAUGCGUAAUUUCUCUAUAUAGGUCAAUAGGUAUUGCACUAGCACUGGCACCCAUAUCACAUAAGCCAUGAUAACAAUGAUCUCCUAUUUUAAUAGAAAUAACAGGCAUGCCUAUCACAGGUCUAGGUUUAUCUUUAGCACAAGGUUUAGCAAUUCUAGCAGUUUCAUCACAGAAAUAAAUAACGUGCCCAUGAAUAUUAUCAGCCAAAAGAUCUUUAACAAUAGCAAUAUUAGGUUCAACUUUAACUUGCUCAGGAGGUGUAUAUGUUCUAAUAUUUCUUUUACGAACCACAGUUGAAGUUUUGGCAUGAUCCUUUAUCCCAACAGGGAAAGGUGGUUUCUCAACAUAAGAAGUAGGAACAAUAGGAUCAUUAUAAGUGGUAGUCUUUUCUUCAACUUUAAUAGGUGCAGCCACUUUUACUUCUAUGGGAGGAUGAUAUUUAAACCACUUCUCCUUGGGGAGAUCAACAUAAGUAGCAAAAAGAUUCACAGAAAGAAGCUACUAUCUCAGAGUCAAGUCCAUAUUUAGUGCUAAAUUUACGGAAAACAUCGGUAUCCAUAAAAGAUUUAACACAAUCAAACUUAGGUGUCAUACCUGAAUCCUUACCUUCAUCGAGGUCCCAAUCUUCAGAGUUGCAUUUAACUCUUUCCAAUAAAUCCCAUUUGAAUUCAAUAGUCUUCGUCAUAAAAGAGCCAGCACAAGAAGUAUCGAGCAUGGUGCGAUUGUUAUCAGAAAGCCGAGCAUAUAAAUUUUGAAUAAUCAUCUCUCUUGAGAGCUCAUGAUUGGGGCAUGAAUAUAACAUUGAUUUAAGCCUCCCCAAGCUUGAGUGAUGCUUUCUCCUUCGCGAGGCCAAAAAUUAUAUAUAUAAUUGCGAUCACGAUGAACAAGAUGCAUAGGAUAAAACUUCUGAUGAAUUCCAAUUUCAAUCGUUUGUAGUUUCAUGACCCCGUAUCAUCACAUUGCCUAUACCAUGUCACUGCAUAUUCCUUCAAAGAUAAAGGGAAGACCUUCUUCUUAAUAACAUCUCCGGGUACACCUGCAAGCUUAAAUAAUUCACAAACUUCAUCCACAUAUAUUAGGUGCUUAUCAGGAUGCGUUGUUCCGUCUCCUGCAAAAGGAUUAGCUAGCAGUUUUUCUAUCAUACCCGAAGGAAUUUCAAAGCAAAAAUUUUCAUUUUCAGUAGGUUCAGUAGGUUGAGGAGCAACUCUUUGCUCUACUGGUCGGGGUGAAGAUACCCCGAACAAGCUCCUCAGAGUAUUACUUUCCAUAGUAACAAGUGACAGUAAAUUUCAGCACACUAUAUAAAUUUUCCUUACCAAAUUCCACCUACCAAAGGCGCUUCACUCCCCGGCAAUGACGCCAGAAAAGAGUCUUGAUGACCCACAAGUAUAGGGGAUCUAUCGUAGUCCUUUCGAUAAGUAAGAGUGUCGAACCCAACGAGGAGCAGAAGGAAAUGAUAAGCGGUUUCCAGCAAGGUAUUCUCUACAAGUACUGAAAUAAGUGGUAACAGAUAGUUUUGUGAUAGGAUAAUUUGUAACGAGCAACAAGUAACAAAAGUAAAUAAGGUGCAGCAAGGUGUCCCAAUCCUUUUUGUAGCAAAGGACAAGCCUAGACAAACUCUUAUAUAGAGAAAAGCGCUCCCGAGGACACAUGGGAAUAUCGUCAAGCUAGUUUUCAUCACGUUCAUAUGAUUCGCGUUUGGUACUUUGAUAAUUUGGUAUGUGGGUGGACCGGUGCUUGGGUAUUGUCCUUACUUGGACAAGCAUCCCAAUUAUGAUUAAACUCUAUUGCAAGCAUCCGCAACUACAACAAAAGUAUUAAGGUAAACCUAACCAUAGCAUGAAACAUAUGGAUCCAAAUCAGCCCCUUACAAAGCAACGCAUAAACUAGGGUUUAAGCUUCUGUCACUCUAGCAACCCAUCAUCUACUUAUUACUUCCCAAUGCCUUCCUCUAGGCCCAAAUAAUGGUGAAGUGUUAUGUAGUCGACGUUCACAUAACACCACUAGAGGAGAGACAACAUACAUCUCAUCAAAAUAUCAAACGAAUACCAAAUUCACAUGACUACUAAUAGCAAGACUUCUCCCAUGUCCUCAGGAACAAACGUAACUACUCACAAAUCAUAAUCAUGUUCAUAAUCAGAGGGGUAUUAAUAUGCAUAUAGGAUCUGAACAUAUGAUCUUCCACCAAAUAAACCAACUAGCAUCAACUACAAGGAGUAAUUAACACUACUAGCAACCCAGGAGGCCCACGACGUAGGGGGGCGCACCCAGGGGGUAGGGCGCGCCCCCACCCUCGUAGGCAGGGUGUGGCCCCCCUGGUGAACUUCUUGCGCUCAGUAUUUUUUAUAUAUUCUGAAAAUGUCUUCCGUGAAGUUUUAGGACUUUGGGAGCUGUGCAGAAUAGGUCUCUAAUAUUUGCUCCUUUUCCAGCCCAGAAUCCCAGCUGCCGGCAUUCUCCCUCUUUAUGUAAACCUUGUAAAAUAAGAGAGAAUAGGCAUAAGUAUUGUGACAUAAUGUGUAAUAACAGCCCAUAAUGCAAUAAACAUCGAUAUAAAAGCAUGAUGCAAAAUGGACGUAUCACUCAGUAUCUGCUACUGUCGCUGCAGCCCCCGUUAAUGGUGCAAUUUAGGUGCCUCAAUCGAGGAAUGCUAUCGAUCACCCCGGCAAUCAAGAUCCCAGUAUUAUUCCCCCACCUAACAAUUCUGCUGCUACAGAGCCUCAUCCUGCCCGUUCCACCUCUCUUCCACCUUCGCGCCGCUAAUAGUCAGCAGACUACUGCAAUCUUCAAAGCAGGAGGGUGAGCUUGUUCCGCGCGCCAUGGCCAACUUCCCGUUCGACCCGGCGCUGUUUCUUCCACCGCAUCAUCAAGCAAUCCAAGUGGAGGGGCGACCUGCAAGAGUGAGGGUAAUCUCUGACCCUGCUCUGCCGCGACAUGAGGACUGGGGUAUAGUCACCAUUCUUCCUAUGCCCAACCAGCAAGUCCAUUUCCCUAAUGUGAGGCAGAUCAUCGGUGAGUUUCUUACUCAAGUCAAGCACCUAGGGUUUCAAGAGAUUUGCCAGUGCCCCUUCGGUCAAGCUUAUGUCAGAUUAAGAUCGCCUUUUGAUCGUGAUGCUUUGGUUUUGCAAAGCCCUCAUGUGCAUGGUGAUGUUCAUAUUAUCUUUUAGAGGCAUAAACAGGGCCUUAACUGGAGAAAUCUAGAGCUGAAUAGGGAUAUUUGGGCUUUGUUGGUUGGUUUCCCAUUUGAUAAGAGAGAGAUGCAUGAACUUGCUAAUUCUGUUUGAAGUUUUGGUAAGAUGUUGCUCUGGGACAGGGCAAGGAGCACACAAGCAGCUUUGAUGGUUAAAAUUAGAGUUGAAAAUAUGAGAGAUGUUCCUGUCAGUAUUGUUGUUGGUGAAUCUGAUGAUCCUAAUGCAGAAUCUUGGACUGUACCUGUUGUCAUCAUCUAGCGGGAGCCAUUGGGUGGAGGGCCACCAGAUGAAGAUCCAGUGCCUGUGGAUGGAAACCCUCACCCUCGGCCAGCUAACAAUUUUUCCAUCCUAACCAGCUCAAUCAUUUCAUUAGGCCUAUUCAGCAACACCAGGCUCAAGAUGUUAUGGGAGGUGAUCAGCAGAACUUUCACCAUCAAGCUAUGCAGCAUGACGCAGCAGGAUGCAGAACAAGAGGAAGAUGAUGAGGAGCUUCCUGGCUGGGGACAUUGCGCAAUGCCAGCAGAAGAUGAUGAUCUCAUUGACCAGGAGCUGGAAGAGGGAGAAUUCAUGGAGCUUGCUGAUCUGUUCCAGCCUUUGGAUGAGCAGCAGCCAAUUAACCUUCCUGAUAUGGACAUGCAUAGUGAUUUGACCCUCUCUGUGGGGUCCAAUGGGGGGAAAUUGACAUGCUUACAGCCAAUGCACAACCAAAUAUGAGGGAAAUGAACUUUUGAACUUGUUGGGCCAGGCCCAAGUUGUCAUUCCAGACCUCAAUUUGGCCCUAGGGCCCAUGUCAGAUCUGCCACAGGAAUUUAUUCAGCCUCAUGCUUAGCCUGCUUUUGCUCAGCCUGCCUUGGCUGCUCCACUGAUUUUAUAAACCUGCUGCCUCCUAUGGGGCCAAAUGUCAGAUUUGGUCUUGAUCUCAACCAAGUAUUGCCUCAGUCACCUUCUGUUGCUCUUAACAACCAAGCCCAAGUAAAUUCUCCUAUGAUUGGUAAUGAGCUGGUAGUAGACAUGAAUUUGGUGGAAGAAGAUGGCUCUCUUUUCAACCUAAAUCUUGCUGAAAGGGAGGACCCUGUUAUUCAGUUAGCUUCACCUGCUGAAUACCUGGCAGCCAUGAACAGAGAAGAUGACCAGAGCUCAUAUGUUGAUGAGGGAAUUGAAAUCCUGGAAUGUUCUUCAGAUGCUUCUUCCAAACCAGCUUCUGCCUCUGAAAGUAUUAAUGUCACUUGCACUUCAUCCUCAAAUUCUUCAGAACCCCCAGGCUUUAAUAUCAAGGGAAGAUAUUUAUCUAAUUAUGUCCCUGAUGGCUCUAAUGCAGAUUCUGAUAAUCAGGGAUUGGCUUGUUACUUUGCUUGGGAGCAGCAUUUCUCUGUUAGCACUGAAGGCACCACACCAGUCCAGGUACCAUUUGAUUGGGUGGAUUGCAUUUGCUCUGCUUUAUUGACCCCUGAUAAAUUUGAUUGGGCAAAGGUGUCCUUGCAAUCUCCUAUGUGGCAUAUUAUCUGUGAAGGGUUUCAACAGUCUCAGCAACUUGUUUUCUUCAUUCCUUCUUAUUGCCCUGUAACUAUGGCUCAUACAUGCUCUCAAUUGCAGGAUCUUGGUUUGGAGGAGGUCCAACCUCUACCUGCUGCUGAAGAUGCUAGUUUCUGCAGUCCUGCUGCUGCAAAAGGAAAAAGGAAAGACAGAGUGCCAGUAGUGGAAUCUGAGGUAAGAAGAAGUGAAAGAUUGCGGCAUUUAAAUAAGGGCUAUAGAAAGAAAACUUGCCAUGAUAGUAAUUGUAUGGCCUACUCUGCUAAACCUCCUGUCUGCAACUCUAAAGUAAUUAAGAAUCUAAAUUCAUCUUACUGCAAGGUGGACCCAAAAGUCUGCACCAAAGAGAACCUCCUGCAGAAGAAAGUCAAGAGAGGAGGAAAGCCACCAGCAUGGAAGGACUGAAGAUUCUGGGUACAAGGAGGGAGGACCUAGUAGAAGGUGGAAUUUUGGGAAUGUUUAAUACUUUGUGUAAACGACACGUGCUUCUGAUCACUUUUGUAAUGAGACCUCUCUCUGCCUUACUGGCAUUUCAAAGAUGCUACUUGUUAUGGGACUAUAACGUGUAGAAUGCCUGCUUUAUAUUAAGUGUUUGAGUGAUGAACUUUCUCCUGGAUCUGUGUCUACUUGAUUUGCAAUGAAUAAAUCCUGGAAUAUAUUGAAUUGGAAUGUGAGAGUCAUAAAUUCAAGUGACAAGUGGCUAGCUCUUUCAAAUAAAAUUGAUGAGGCUCAAUGCUCAGUCAUUUGUCUGCAAGAAACUAAGAGAGAAGUUUUUGAUAGCUCUUAUUUAAGGAAGUUUUGCCCUAAGAGAAUAAACAAAUUUGACUAUCUGCCUUCUGUGGGAGCUUCUUGGGGUUUGCUUGUGGCAUGGAAUGAUAAUAUGUUUCAAGGGGAGUGUCUGUUUAAAAAUGAUUUCUCCAUCUCCAUUAGAUUUAUUUCAGUCCACACAGGGGAUUCUUGGAUCCUAACAAACAUAUAUGGGCCUUGUGAUAAUGAAGGAAGACACAACUUUCUGGCUUGGUUUAGAAACAUUCAGAUGCCUCUUGAAACUGAUUGGAUCAUCAUAGGAGACUUCAACUAUAUUAGAUAUCCCUCAAACAGGAAUGUAGGAGUUGGAGACAUUAGCAAUAUGAUGGAUUUCAAUGCUGCAAUCAGUCAACUAGCCUUAGUUGAAAUUCCUUUGAAAGGUAGAAGUUUUAGUUGGAGCAAUAUGCAGCAAGCUCCUCUGGUGGAAAAGAUUGACCGGGUGUUCAUCGCUGAAAAUUGGUCUUCAAAUUAUCCCAAUACAAUGGCUAUUCCUCUGGCAAAACCUGUUUCCGAUCAUUGUCCAUUUGUCAUAAGAAUUGGUACCAGCAUCCCUAGAGCCCAAGUCUUUAGGUUUGAAAACUUCUGGCUUCAACAUCAUGAUUUUCAAGAGGUAGUGCAAUCUAACUGGUAGCAAGCCAUUUUGGCAAGUGAUGGUGCUAAGCUCAUCACUGCAAAAUUUAAGAAGCUCAGGAAGGGUCUGAAAAUUUGCAGUAAAUGCAUCUCAAACUUAGCUAGCAGCAUUAAGGCCACCAAUAAUGUCAUCUUGAUGUGGGGUCUUUUUGAGGAAUACAGAGUGCUCACAGAUAUGGAACAUAAUGGCAGGGAAAUGCUAAAAGAACAUUUGUUAAAUUGUUGUCUUUUCAGAGGAUUUAUUGGAGACAAAGAGCAACAAUUUGAUUGGUUAAAUUUGGAGAUGAAAACUCUAAAUUCUUUCAGGCAAAGGCAACCAUUAAAUACAUGCACAACUACAUACAGUCUUUAUACAAUGAUCAAGGAAUUGAGCUGUCAGAUCAUCAUGCAAAAGCAGCAAUUCUUUGGGCUUCAUUUAAAGAGAGACUCGGCCAGACUGGUGAGAUUUCAGAUCCUUUAAAUUUGAUCAACCUCAUUAACAGAGUAGAGGAAUUGCAGGAUCUAGAUGCCCCCUUCACAAAGCAAGAAAUUGGCUCUGUUAUAAAGAACCUCCUUUCUGAUAAAGCACCAGGGCUAGAUGGAUUCAAUGGAGAUUUUAUUAAAGCUUGUUGGAACAUCAUUCCUGAAUAUUUUUACAAGUUAAUAGAUGAUUUCUACCAUGGGAAGAUCUCUCUUCAGAGUAUUAAUGCCUCUUUCAUCACUUUAAUUCCAAAGAAGGACAAUCCAGUUACAGCCAAUGACUUCAGACCAAUUUCUCUACUCAAUUGCACAAUCAAGAUCAUUACCAAACUGUUAGCCAAUAGAUUACAUGAUGUCAUUCUAAAGAUUGUGCACACCAAUCAAUAUGGUUUCAUCAAGAGCGGAACCAUUCAUGAUUGUCUGGGGUGGGAUUUUGAAUAUUUACAUCAAUGUCAGCAAUCCAAACAGACUAUUGUCUUCCUCAAAUUGGACUUUGAGAAAGCUUUUGAUAUGCUCAAUCAUAAAGCCAUUCUUGCUAUACUGAAAGCUAGAGGAUUUGGAAAAAGAUGGAUAACUUGGAUCUCAAUGUUGCUGUCCUCGGGCACUUCCUCUGUCCUGUUCAAUGGAGUGCCUGGGAAACUCUUCCACUGCAGACAAGGAGUCAGACAAGGGGAUCCUCUUUCUCCUUUACCUUUUGUUCUAGCAGUUGAUCUUCUUCAGUCAAUGCUCAAUGAAGCUAUGCAUCAACAUCUGAUCCAUGCUCCUAUUGUCAGCCAAGCUUACCCAGAUUUUCCUAUGAUCCAAUAUGCUGAUGAUACAAUCUUAGUGUUGCCUGCUGAUGCCAGACAAGUUGCUCAAGUCAAAAACCUCAUUUUGCAUUAUACUGCUUUUACUGGGCUCAAAGUCGGUUAUGAGAAAUCUUUCAUGGUGCCAAUUAAUGUAUCAGACUCUCACUUUGCUCAAUAUUAUGGGAUGCGAGCAAGGACACUUCCCCUUCACUUAUUUAGGACUUCCACUUGGCACAUCAAAACCAAAAAUUGAAGAUUAUAGCCCAAUGAUGCAAAGAAUUGAGAGAAGGCUUUCUGGUUGUUCUACCAUGCUGUCAUAUGAUGGAAGAUUGUUGCUUAUCAAAUCGGUAUUUGCAGCCCUACCAAUCUUCUUUAUGUGUACCUUGAAACUUCCCAUAGGUGUUAUUGAGCAAAUCAACAAGUAUUUGAGAAACUUUCUCUGGAGAAAAUUUGGCAUGGAAAAUAGAGGGACAACACUCAUUGCUUGGUCCAAGGUUUGUCUACCAAAAAAAAGGGGGCCUUGGUAUUCUUGAUAUUGCUCUCCACAAUAAGGCUCUCCUCAUGAAAAACCUAUUCAAGUUCCUUAACAAAGAAGAUAUACCUUGGAUUAAGCUGACCUGGGAGAAAUAUUAUCAUACAGAAGCUCCAAAAGGAAAAGUUGAAGGUUCUUUCUAGUGGAAAUCUCACGUAUGUCUCCUAGAAAGGUUUAAGCAGAUUAGCAGGUGCUCAAUUGGAACUGGACAAACUAUGCUUUUUUGGAAAGAUAACUGGAAUGAUCAUAACCUACAAUCUACCCUUCCACAUCUUCACUCCUUUGCAAGGAAUGAUGAGCAGUCUGUUCUAGAUUUUUAUGGAGAGCAUGAUUGGACUGAGCACUUUCACCUGCCUCUCUCUAUUGAAGCUUAUGAGGAAUUUAAUCAACUUCAAGCUAUAGCACCCAGUCUACUUCCAAACAGAGAGGAUAAAUGGAGCAUCAUUGGGGCUGUUGGGAAGCCAUCAACAAUUCACAUAUAUAAUCUAAUUUUAGAACAACAGGAAGAACAUCCCUUUUUAGCAUCAUUUGGAACAGUUCAAGCAGACUCAAGCACAAAAUCUUCUUUUGGCUAGUGGCUCAUUGCAGAAUGAACACUAGAGCACUCUUACUCAGAAAAGGCAUGCAGCUAGAUGACAUUCAUUGCCCUAACUGUAACCAACAGGCAGAAGAGACAACUAUGCACUUAUUAUGGGACUGCAACUUUGCACAGGAAUGUUGGAACUCCUUGAUUCCAAAUAGAUACAGAGGCACAUCAGAUUAUGAGGAUACCACCCUGGCCUUAAAACUCUUGCCAAAGCAGUUUGCAGUAGAGAUCAUCAUUUUGGAUUGUUGGAACAUAUGGAUGCAGAGGAAUGGUAAAGUUUUCAGAACAAUUCCACUGUCGAUUCAGUCUUGGCGAUUUCACCUUAAGCAAGACUUAAAGCUCCCGAGACACAAGAUCAGGCAAAAGUUUGAAGCUCGGUUCACUCAGUGGAUAGAUCAUAAUCUAUAAUCAUGAGUUCCAUUCCUAGAGCAGGCAUUGGCUAGCUUCUUAGCCGAAGUUCAUCCCUUUGCGGGUGUGUAAUAUUUUGUACUAUAUUUAUUUUAAUAUAUUUAACGUAGAACAAUUGUUCUACAGUGUUGGGUCAAUUUUUUUUGCAUAUCUCCAAUAUUGUAGAUGUUGAUAAAUUUGUAUAUAAAUUUGGUCAAACUUUAUGUAGUUUGACUUAAGACAAAUCUUAAGUGUGAAGCAAAAGGAAAUGGAGGGAGUACAAUUUUUGUUAAGGGGGAGUCAUGAAAUUUUGGGAAAAUGGGCACUUUAGGUAUGGAAUAAAUUUACGCCCAAUAACUGAAGGAAAAAUGUAGCACAUCGUAUUGCUAUUAUUUUUAGAAACAUUCUAUAACAUUGUUUAUGCCCAAUAAAAUUUUGUCCAUCUUGGGUUAUCGUUGUCAAAUUUAUUGGUCUUUUUUCACUUUUCUUUGUCGUCUCAAUUUUUCCCUUUUUUUUGCAUUUAUGCUAACAUGUGUAAAGCCACUGCCAUGUUACGAAACCAAGGACAACUCAAUGACUAAACAACUUAAUAUAAGGAACGGGAGUUGUAAUAAAUGGUUUCCUUGGUUGAAAAGCACAUUUUACCUAGUAUUAGAGUUUACAUCACAGUUGUGAAUUAGUUUUGGUUCAAUUGACCCUAUGAACUCUAGGACUUCUUUCUUAUUUGACCUUUUUACGUGUUUGACUCUGGUUUUACGCUAGACAACAGUGCCAUGUCGUUUUUUUCUAUGCAUGUCAUUUAUUUCCUUCCUUUGUAGCUAGAAAAACUUGGAAAACUCAAUUAUACAAAAGAAUAAUAUAAAAUGCCUAGUAAAAUGGAAAUAUUUCCAAUGAAGAAUCUGGUAAAAACAUACAAUUUUGAGAGUCUUUACGUUUUAGUUUCAAAUUGCAAUUUAGGGUUCAAAACUGAAAAGGUUACAGUAAAUCCGGAAUAAUUCGGUGACCAAUUGUCGUACAAUUUGAGAGAAACGUGGUAUUUUUUAGCUUAAAGAGAGAAAAGAGAUGGCAUGGUUGACACAACUGAUUAGGAUGAAACCGUAGUGAACUGGGUAAAAACCGGUCAAUCGAAAAGGAAACUGGCAUCCUGUCAAAACGGAAAAAGAGAAGAAAACAUGUAUUGUGAAGGAUCUCUAGAAAUUCCAGAGACGUAAAUUGAAUCAAAACAGAGAAUGUAAAGCUAAAUAAAUAGCAAUCCAAAGCAAGAAGACACGUGGAAUACUUAAACAUGUACUCCCUUCAUUCACUAUUAUAAGAUGUUCUAACUUUGUUUCUAAAUCAAAUGUAUGUAGACACGUUUUAGUGUGUUUGUUAAUUCAUUUCAGUCCGUAUGUAUUCCCUCCAUUUGAUAAAUCUUGUCGUGAUUUUAGCUCGAAUUUUGAACUAAAACCACGACAAGAAUUAUGAAUAAGUAGUUCAAAUUGAAAUAUCCAAAACGUCUUGUUAUACUAGUGAACGGAGGGACGUGAUAGUAAAAAGGGCUUGCAUGAAUUUUUUUGGAAAAUGGCUUGCACGAAAAAAGGCAGGGAGGGAUUUUAGGAGCAAUGACGUCCCAAUUAAAUUCAGGUCUCAAAGCUCCUGAAAUUGCUAGCAUGUCAAGAGGCAGGCAGGGAGACAUGGCGCCUGCGAAUCAUACGCAUCGGGCAGGGCAGGGAGAGUACCCGGAGCAUAUUUUCUUCAGCUGUUAUACCAGUGUAGUGCGGUGGCUGGCUAACAACCAUAGAGAUGGGGCGUCCUUGUUGCAGGGACAGACAGACAGACACAUAGUAGACAUAGACAGCGGUAACAAUCACAGAAUUCACAGAAUUCACAGCCAGGCAGCAGCGGCAGCAGCACUCUCCUCUCACUCACUCGCUCACCAAAAGCAGAAAAAGAAAGGAGAGAUUAAUAAUUGUAAUUGGUUAAAGGAGAGGCACACACCCCCACCUACACACCCAGCCCAGCACAGCACCGCAUCGAUCGUCCUCCUCCAUUCGCAUUGCAUUUCCACCCACCACCAAACGCCCCCCCGUUCCAUCCCUCCCAAGAACACCACCACCAAGCAAGAUCCAAGCCCCAAGAUCGGCCUGGCUUCCUCGGAGCAAGAGCAGCAUUUGUAGAGAUCGGUGGAGCUGCGGCGGUUGGAUCAGGGAGAGGGAGGGAGCGGCGUCUGGCGUGCCGGUGGUGGAAGUGCAAGUGGUUGCGCUCGCUUGCGCAGGAGUGAGGGUCAAGUUCCCCCGGAGCUUUUCUUUCUCCUUUUCCCUUUUCACCACACCAUCCACCUGAAACCCAUCUCCAUCUGAAUCCCCCAACUCCAUCCAUCCAUCCAUCCAUCCUCCAUAGUACACGGGUAGAGAGAUACAGAGAGGGAUUGCAGUACAACCCAAGAAACCAUGAUGGUGGUGUGGCAGGGGCAGGAGCAGGAGGAGGAUUGAUCGGCGGUGCUGCUAGCAGUAGUAGUGGUCGUGGUGGACGCUGCUGUUACUCACCGGUCGCCAUCCCCUCUUCCCUUUAAUCCUUGCUUCACUCCUCCCCUCCCUCCCUCCCUCCCUUGUCUUAUUGCCUUGUUGCAAGAGAAGAAAAGAAGCCCGGCCGCAUUCCCAACAGCAGCACAUCUUCUUCUCGGUUGGUGCGUCGCUUGUCGCGGUUGUGGUGGUGGUGGUUGUUGUAUGAUCGGUGGCAGCAGACGAGAUGACAAUGGAGCACGGCGAGGAUUGCUGCGUCAAGGUGGCGGUCCACGCCCGCCCGCUCAUCGGCGACGAGAAGCUGCAGGGCUGUAAGGACUGCGUCACCGUCGUCCCCGGCAAGCCACAGGUAUGAACGAGCUUUCUUCACUCAAUUUACUAGGCUUUUCCCUCUGUUUCGCUCAGUAUGAUGGAAUGCUUGUGCUUGUGUUUGUGUUGUUUUCUCCCUCUCGUUCUUGUUUUUGGUUUCUUCAUUCACUGGCGGCAGUGCAUGUCUCAGUUCAGAGACAAGAUAGAUUGACUGCUGUUCAAUCCAGUUCUGCCAGUACGAUAAAUUCUCUCGUGUUUUCUUAGCUCACAAAAAAAGAAAGAAAGAGAAACCACACGGCUGCGUUUUUUUAUUCAUUUUGUUCCAUAAAAUUCAGAGACCGGAUUGACAUUUUUGGCCGAUGUUUGAGGGUUUCAGCACCAGAUUUCGGCAAGAAAUAAAUAAAAGAAAAGGACUUCCCAUCUCCUCUGUUUCUCUCUGUCCGGUUCAAGAACAGCCGAGCUCACAAGAAACCAACCGAUCCACCCCAAUUUCGGCCAUCAAGAACAUCUCGAAUUCAGCGACGAGAAUCUAGGUUGCUUGCUUGCUUCCCCGAUUUAGCCCGCCGUGACAGAGAUGGGCGUGCCCCCUUUUUCCCUCCUCCUUUUUCGCCAUCCCCUGGAGAAAAGAAAUUUCCCCUGUCGGCAGUGCCAGAGUUGUUCAUAUCACAUUUCUGGUGCGGAGUUGCGUCCGAUCCUGAUGGCGUUGGUGCUCUUCUUUAUCUGGGCAGGAAUCCUGUCAGCGUCACGCACUUGCGCUCCCGGCUGUUUGUUGAUCCGGUCCCUUUCAGCUCUCCCAAUUCAAUCCAAGCUUGUUUCCAUUUCUUCUUCGAGAAAGGUUUUUUAUCAUUUGUUAACCUCCCCCAAAUUCUGAUGGAUUGGGUUCCCCGUUCCACCCUGAGCCUCGGUGAGUGAGAUCUGGCUUAUCUUACUUUCACCUAUGUGGUAGUAGUAAUAUUUUAUUUUCUCCUGUGAUUCAUCUGCAUGCAUCUCCAGCUGUCAGCGGCACAUUCUUCCUCAUCUUUCUUGGCUUUCCCACCAAUCUCACCUUGAUCUCUCUCUAUCUCUCUCUCUCUCUCUUUGUGUGUGUGUGUAUGUGUGUGUGUGUGUGUGUGUGAUGAUUUCUUUUUUGGUGAGGCAAUUUUCGGGUCAAGAAUCAAGAUGGGUAGAUGGAAAGUGACUUUCUUUCCGCCCAACUCUUUAUUACUAGCGUUAGCAAGGCAAUGAUGAGAUGCUGUUGUGGUAGUAGUAACUCGGACCUUUUUCUGUUGCUGAAUGAAUGAAUGAUGGAUGAAUGCAGGUCCAGAUCGGCACCCACUCCUUCACCUUCGACCACGUCUACGGCAGCUCCGGCACGCCGUCGACGGCCAUGUUCGACGAGUGCGUGGCGCCGCUGGUGGAGGGCCUCUUCCAGGGCUACAACGCCACCGUGCUCGCCUACGGCCAGGUCAGUCGGUCAAUCAUUCAUUUUUUUCCAUCCAUCCCAGUCCCAUGUGCCAUUCAUUCAGAGCAAAGACCCACAUGAUAUGGUGCCUGGACCACCACGUUGGGGGGUGGCAAAAAGCCAGCAGCACAUCAUGUGGCGCUGCCGGAGCUGCAAACCCUUUUCUCCCAGUCCAGCUCACCUGCUUCUGCCAUUAUGGGGCUUUCUUGCUUGCCCCCACAAGCAAAACCCCAAGCAAAUGUCGACUGUUCCUUUGGCAAUUUAUUUACGGUGGAGUCGAAAUGAUAAAACCCCGCAAAAAUGCUGGUCAUUUCAUUUCAGGUCUAACUGUUUUCAAUUUUUUUUCUUUUUCUUUUCGCUAGACGGGCUCGGGGAAGACGUACACCAUGGGGACGGCUUGCAAGGAGGGGACGCACGUCGGGAUCAUCCCGCGAGCCAUGGCGGCAUUGUUCGACAAGAUCGAGAAGCUGAAAAAUCAAGUGGACUUCCAGCUACGCGUUUCUUUCAUCGAGGUAAACACAUGGGAAGCAAUGCUCGAACCUGAUCAAAUGCAGUUGCCUCUCUGAACUGACAGACAGUCCCCUAGAGAAUUUAUUUGAAUAGGCUAUAAACACUUGUCUUGGACAGAUCCUGAAAGAAGAGGUGCGGGAUUUGCUUGACCCUGCUACUGUUACUGCUGGCAAAGUUGAGAAUGGCAAUGGGCACACCGGGAAGUUGUCCGUGCCGGGGAAACCUCCGGUGCAGAUUCGGGAGGGGUCAAACGGGGUCAUAACCCUGUCGGGGUCGACCGAAGUGCAUGUCACCACUCAGAAGGAAAUGACCACAUGCCUUGAACAAGGUUCGCUGAGCCGCGCCACUGGGAGCACCAACAUGAACAACCAAUCAAGGUUAGCAACAUUGGCACAAUCAUCACUAUCUUUUAAAAGAUAAAGCCUUUUAAUCACUCACCCAUAACUGAUUUGAUGUGAUGAAAAGAGAAAACAAGUAAACAUCAUUCAGAUUAGACACGCGCAAUCAGUGCUGGAUACAGUUUCAGAUUAGAGAAUUAUUCAUGUUGUUUUAAUCAACUUUAUGCUUUUUUUUUGUUUCGGCAUGUAAUAGUCGUUCCCAUGCCAUCUUCACAAUCACAUUGGAGCAGAUGCGCAAAGCAGACCCCAUCAUGGCAUCAGAUGGAAUGCCUAUUGAAGAGAUGAAUGACGAUUAUCUAUGUGCCAAGCUCCACUUGGUAGAUCUUGCGGGGUCGGAACGGGCCAAGAGAACUGGUUCAGAUGGCCUUCGGUUCAAGGAAGGUGUGUACUUCGCAUGUUUUUCUGUUUUAGACGACCAUUGAUGCAUGAUCUCGUCCCCAAACUAAAGGUAAUUUAUGCCUUGUGUCACCAGGUGUUCACAUCAACAGAGGACUUCUGGCCCUUGGCAACGUCAUAAGUGCUCUUGGAGAUGAGAAAAAGAGGAAAGAAGGUGCACAUGUACCUUACCGGGACAGCAAACUCACUCGUCUUCUGCAGGUUAUAUUCUUCUCAUGCAACUGAACAGAUGUGGCCUUUAAGUGCCAUUGAUUUCAUUGCUAUGUUCUGUUAAAUAGGAUCAGGUCAACUGCUGCUUCAGCAUCAGAUGUGGUUUACUAUAUUAUCUUUUGUCCUAAUACUAACUACUUCUUAUCCAUUUCUGUUUUGUGAACAGGACUCACUCGGUGGAAACAGCAAGACUGUAAUGAUAGGUAACUCAUUUUACUGGAUACCACUUAAUUUCUUAUUCUUAAUGUUUACAAUAAUAAGUGCCGAUCUCCCACAAUAUCUAAAGUUCUGUAAGAGUUCCAGAAUUGGCAUAUCAAGGUUCAAAAUGUAUCAUCUCAAAAUGUAUGAAUCCCAUGAUAUGAUUUAGUCAUUUCAUUUAAUUUAUUUCAAAGGAAAGACCAGUUCUUAUAUAUGGUCGUUAAGCUUAUAUUUUACUAACUGGCCCGACUGAACUUACAUUGAACUGACUUAUGUCUAUAUUCUCUCCUGCAGCCUGUAUUAGCCCAGCAGAUAUUAAUGCUGAAGAAACACUGAACACAUUGAAAUACGCUAACCGGGCACGUAAUAUUCAGAACAAACCAAUUGUGAGUUUGUCAUCUUUAGCCUCCCUAGAAACAUAUCAGACAUGUACCUACACUUUCUUUAUUAAAUUGAUAAGCUUUUCUCCCUGAUGGUUACUUGACUUUUUGCUAUUUGCUUCCCUGAUUUCCAGGUCAACAGGAAUCCUAUUGCUGAUGAGAUGAAAAGGAUGCGCCAGCAACUCGAGUACUUGCAAGCAGAGCUAGUUUUAGCUCGCGGAGGAGGAGUAGGAUCAGAUGAUGUUCAGGUAAAUGUUUUACAAUCUGUUUGCAAUGUCAUCAGCAAAAUUUGGACUGUGGAACGCAGUCACUCGCACUAAGAAUUGGAAUAACAAGAUAUCAAUUUUCAGGGUCUCAGGGAAAGGAUCUCAUGGCUUGAACACACAAAUGAAGACCUUUGCCGGGAACUUUAUGGCCUUCGCAACCAUGUUCACAGUGAUCCAUGCGAACCUGAACUACAUGUAUGUCAAUUAUACUUCUUAAGCCUGUUUUUGGAAAUUUGACAUUUGUGAACAAUGAUAUACUUGCACUUCCACUGCUCCUUUCACACUAUAUGUAUGUUCUCACAAAGGGAAAACGAGAAACAACAUAACAUUAUUAUCUACUACUUUGUUUUCCAUGUAGUUACACUUGAAAUUUUAUAGCUAGACCAUAUGUAUCUCACUUGUUUUACUCUUUGUUUCAGAAAACUGUAAGUGGCUACACCAAAGGUGAAGGGCUCAAACGAAGCUUGCAAAGUACGGAGCCAUUUGAUGUCCUUAUGACUGAUUCUGUACGAGGUAAUCUUAGAAUCUUGUAGUUCUUUGGUUGCUUCUCAAACCAUGACUAAAUCUCGAAUUUAUCUUUGUUUUCUUGCUAUGCUUGUAUGGCACUAAUUGUCCCUACCUGCAGAAGGCAACCCUAAAGAUAUUGACGAUGAAGUAGCCAAAGAAUGGGAACACACAAUGCUGCAGGAUAGCUUAGGCAAAGAGUUGAAUGAAUUAAACAAACAACUGGAGAAAAAGGAGGUAUGCAACGCGGACACUGAAAACUAUUUCACCAUGUACAUAAAAUAACCGUUUAAAAAUCAAUAAAAUGUAUACGAGUUAAUGUUCACGCACACAUGAAUAUGCAUUCACUUCCCCAACCCUUUGUUUUGUGGCCUUCUGUUCUAUACUAGGAUCAGCGGCAAAGCCAACCUUGUCCUUGUCUUGGUAAAGUUGAUUUCAAAAUGCAUGAUUCAUGAGGUUGUGAAGGUCAUUAAUUGUGUGCCAAUGAUUACUAUAUUAACUUGAAAGAGCAACACAUUAUACAUACAUUAUUCUGACCUGUUUCCUGAGUUAACUUUACUCUUGCAUUCUGAUUAUGCUUGCCAAUAACCUUACCACAAAUUUGUCCCGAACAUUUUGCAGUCUGAGAUGAAAGGGUAUGGACAUGAUACUGUUGCACUUAAGCAACACUUUGGAAAGAAACUUAUGGAACUUGAAGAAGAGAAAAGAGCUGUACAGGUUUGUCAUAAAAUCUUCAAACUACUAUACUCAGUCAAAAACAGUUGCAUAUCCACGAAAAAUGCUAAUCUUACAAGGAAAUUUGAACACGUUUCAGAAAGAGAGGGACAGGUUGUUGGCUGAAGUUGAAAGCCUAAAUGCAGAUGGGCAGACACAUAAGGUGCGAGAUGCCCAACUGCAAAAACUUAAAACCUUUGAAGCACAGGUAAAUGGUUCUUCUUAAUGUGUUCUAGUAAUUUUCACAAUCUAGUACAUGUUAGUCAUAAAAUACCGGACCUGCAGAUUCUAGAACUCAAGAAAAAGCAGGAGAGCCAAGUUCAACUUCUGAAAGAAAAGCAGAAGAGUGAUGAAGCUGCUAAGAAACUGCAAGAGGAAAUCCAUUUUAUAAAGUCACAGAAGGUUGCCUUUCCUUUGUCAGCUUGUCUGUGAUAACUGCAUCAUUUUCUACAUCAUUUCUAUGUAUUGUUAAUAAUACUUCAUUCAUAUUAAUGCAAUCUUUUAUGGUUUCAGGUUCAACUACAACACAAGAUCAAACAAGAAGCAGAACAGUUCCGGCAAUGGAAGGCUUCCCGUGAAAAAGAACUUUUGCAGGUAUGGAUAGUUCGUUGCAUAGUUAGUGCAAAUACUGCAGAAUUACUGUGUGGCAGAUUCUAGUUCAAUCCAAAUGUGGUCCAUGUAACAAUGAUGGGCAUUUUUAUCAUAGCUUACUUAGAUAUCCAUGCUUCUCUUUGUUUGCAGGGGCACCCUAGCACAUGAACAAAACGUAUUUUCAGAAAUGAUUUACUUCUAAUUCUAUAAUAUGGCCUUUAAAAAUGUUGAAUAAGAUUAAGUUAGAUAUUUAGACUUGGUAUGCAUGCAGUGUUUAUGAUGCUUCUGUUGUAAUAUUUUUUAUAGAUGGAAUCGGAUAUUCCAGAGGUCAUUUUGAGAAGCAUGGUUUUCAUUCUGUUUCCUAUGUGCAGUUGCGGAAGGAGGGACGAAGAAAUGAGUAUGAACGCCACAAACUUCAAGCACUUACUCAGAGGCAAAAAUUGGUAAGUUUGGCAUGCUUGUUUUUGUUGAUCCGGUGCUUACUGAGUAGUCAUGUCCCUUCAAGACUGAUAAAUGCCAAAACCAACAAAUACGAUUAAGGACAUAACUAGCAAAAGGCUCUUUAUAUACUCCCUCUAAUCCAUAAUAAGUGUUGGAGUUUUGAACUGAGGUUGAACCUUAGUUCAAAGCUGCGACACUUAUUUUGGAUUGGAGGGAGUAUUAUAUAUCAGUUGAAUAACAAUACGGCACUUUUUGUACUAUAGGUUCUUCAAAGGAAGACUGAAGAAGCUGCCAUGGCUACCAAAAGGCUGAAAGAGAUACUUGAAGCUCGGAAAUCUUCAGGGCGUGAUAAUUCAGGUACCUCUCUCAGUCUCUCUGCAUCAUGACAUUAUUAUUUGCAGCAUAAUUAAUACUUCCUAUCUAACAACACUCCAUUGUUCUUCUUUCCUCCAAAAAUAGCUGGCAUGAAUGGCACUUCUCCUGGCUCUCAUGUAAGAUUUAUUCAUACUUGCCCUAUAAAUUCCGAUGUUUAUUUCGCACAUACCCCUCAACAUAUUCUUUUGUAAAACAGAUGAGUGAGAAAUCGUUGCAAAAGUGGCUAGAUCAAGAGUUAGAAGUCAUGGUUCAUGUCCACGAAGUCCGAAACGAAUACGAAAAACAGUCUCAAUUGUAUGUGUUGUGUGGUUCAUUUUUGCUACUCAAUUGUUUAUUGCAGAUACAGUUUACAUUUUUUGCAUAAUUUAUGACUUUCAAAAUAAUAUGGUUUUAAAGGCGUGCUUUACUUGGCGAGGAGCUUGCCAUUUUGAAGAAAGAAGAUGCUAGUCCGCCAAGAGGGAAGAAUGGAAACUCAAGGUAAUUGUUCUCUCCUUGUUUUCUUAUGUACUCAAGGUAUCUUUCCAUCACAUAUCUAUUUAUUAUCACAGUAGUUUUAGCCCAUAUAAAAUAAGUUUCCUGUUACUGUGUCCAGAUCUACAAUCCAAUUUCCUGUAAAUACGAUUGAACAUAUUUAGUUCGCAAUUUCCCAUACUGUAUUCAGGACUUCUAAAUGGCCAUGCAUGUCUUGACUGCAACUCUUUUUCGCAGGACAAAUACCUUGUCACCAAAUGCCCGACAAGCUAGGAUAGCAUCACUUGAGAGCAUGGUCACAAUCUCUUCAAAUACUCUUGUCGCGAUGGCUUCUCAACUUUCAGAGGCUGAGGAAAGAGAGCGUACUUUCUCGGGGCGUGGUCGUUGGAAUCAGUUGCGGUCAAUGGGAGAAGCAAAGAGUUUGCUGCAGUACAUCUUUAGUGUUGCUGCGGAUGCAAGGUUAUUAUGGCAUCUUCAUGGUUUCAUACUAUGGCAUCAACUUCUGUGAAGGAAACAAAAUAUCAUCCAUCAUCCAUACUGCUUAGACUUCAUCAUUUGUAGACCCUGAAACUAAAAACACCCUUCUUUUCUAAGAGAUAGCUGAUAGUAAACCCAAACUUAAAAUUUUGGUUUAUCAUUUUCUUUCAAGAGUUACAAUAUGUCAUGGAUGAAUGAAACGGAGACACUUAGCCUUUUUGUGAUUUUUUUUCCUUCUGAAAGUUCGAUUCUUUCGAAGCCAACUUCAUUAAUAUAUUAUCUUGAAACAAAGAGUGAUAUUCUCUUUGUUGCUGAAAACAGAUGUGAAGUAAGGGAAAAAGAAAUUGAGAUCAAGGAAAUGAAGGAGCAAAUGACGGAAAUGAAGGAGCAAAUGACGGAGCUUGUGGGCAUCCUUCGACACAGUGAAUCACGCAGGAGGGAACUUGAAAAGCAGAGCAAGCAGAAAGAGCAGACAGCUCCCAUGGCUACUACUCCUCCGGUGCGAUUUCUCACAGCUUGCAACCAUAUGAAUCCUUCAAACCAUACAUUUGAUCUAUGAACAGCAUGGAUAAACAUCUACUCCCUUUUCUCCCAAAUAUAUAUAAUUUUUAGAUUCUAUUUCUAUGAUAGUCCAACAUUUUCAGAUAUUUACCACCAAUACAGAGAGAAUUGUCGACAUUAACAACAACAACAAAUUGAUACUAGUAGGACCAUAAUGGAAUAUACUUUAAUAAUAUACAAUCAUCUAUUUUAAAAGAAGCAUGUUUUCAAAUAAUUCGUUUGGUAAUGUGUCCAAGACGAUCUACAUUUAGGGUCAGACUGACUAUAACACAGCUUAGAGUUUUCAUGAAAAAAAAACAAUUGCUACAAGACAUGGGACCUGAUUUUGAUCAUGGACAUUCGACAUAUAGCGUGCAAUUUUUAAUGAAUUUCCAUAAACCUUGUAGGGAAGUGUAAAUGGCUCCGCGAAGCACACUGCGGAUGACUCCAACACACCACUAUCCCCGGUUGCAGUUCCUGCACAGAAGCAGCUGAAGUACUCUGCUGGAAUUGUAAAUAGCCCCAGCAAAGGUGUAGCUGCAUCGAACAAACAACUCAAGGUUUUACAUCUCACAGCCUGAUAGCUCCUUUUGCCUUGCCAUGUCUCUCUGUCUCAUAUACAUUUCUGGUUGAUGAUCUUCAAUGCAGAUGGUUCCUAUCGCGCAGUUGCCUGUCGGCAAGAAGGUUUCGAUAUCAGGACAAUCAGGAAAACUGUGGAGAUGGAAAAGGAGCCACCACCAGUGGCUACUGCAGUUCAAGUGGAAGUGGCAGAAGCCCUGGAAACUGUCCGAGAUGAUCCGCCACAGCGAUGAAACGAUCACGAGGGCCAGGCCCAGACCCCAGCUACUUAUCACUCAUAAACCUCAGAAAGUGAUGUGAAACGGGCUUCUCUUUUUUCUCCGGCUUCACAUUGACUGACACGGUUGGUUCACGGACCUACACAGCUAACAAUGCAGCUAAAGGCUUGAUGGGAUCUCCUUCGUGCUUCGUUUUUACCUAGCCACGGGAUCGACAAGUAUAUGUUCUUCAUAGGGUGACUUGUCUUUGGGUGUAAAUUUCCUGUGCCUAUAAAGUGAGAUGUGAAUGUAGAGGUGGUGGAGUUAGUGAGUGAGUGAGUGGCCACCAUUCUUCCUGGAAGAAGUGAGCGCGAGGUUUCAUGUUUCAGCCGUCCUUGGUCUGACUGGAGAGAUGCCAACGGUUGGUGUGUUCUUCUACAUAAAGAUUUGCAAGAAGGAUGGUGGAAGUUGGAUGCCUUGUGCUUGUUUCCUUUAUAGUAUUAUUUUCUGUAUGUUGGUACUGAAAGUGGCAAGUCGAAUGACUCUGGUUUGGUUUGUUAGG